GACGAACGCUGGCGGCGUGCUUAACACAUGCAAGUCGAACGAAGUGGCGAACGGGUGAGUAAUACGUGGGUAACCUCCCGUCCGUUGUGGGUUACGACUUGGAAACGUGGUCUAAUACCGAAUAAAGGGGGAGGAGCUCGCGGCCUAUCAGCGGGUUGGUGGGGUGAUGGGCUACCAAGGCGGUGACGGGUAGCCGGCCUGAGAGGGUGACCGGCAACAGUGGGACGGAGAUGCGGCCCAGAGGACGAAGGGGGGGGGAAGUUGGGGAUAUUGCAGAAAGGGCGAAAGCCUGAUGCAGCGAGUACGAGGGGGGGAUGAAGGUUUUCAGGUUGUAAACCUCUUUAGGAAGCGAACCGGUAGGUGCAGAAGAAGCGCCGGCUAACUACGUGCCAGCAGCCGCGGUAAUUC
rnacentral:rRNA from 1 species